rnacentral:lncRNA from 1 species
CUCCUGCUCAAUAUACACCACCUUCCAAUUAUUAGAAGAUUUGUUCUAUCUGUACUAGUCCAGCUCAUCAUGUGAGUGAAUGUCCCACAGCUGGACAGUUUCCACCUUUCAUUCAAGAAUAAGUUCAAGCUACCCAAGGUUACUCUAAGCCUGUCAAUGACCUAUUCUCAAACACAUAUAAUCCAGGUUGAAAAAAUCACUCCAAUUUUUUUUAGAGACCUCAACAGACUCAGGCUCAAACCCAAAUUCCUCCUAUGCAAAACUUUCAUAAUAGACCCC